GGCAUGGUGGCCGCGUGUUAAGGUGUUGGUCUUGUAAAACGAAGAUCAUGGGUUCAAAACCCUUCUGUGCCU
rfam:Salmo salar isolate Sally breed double haploid chromosome ssa11, whole genome shotgun sequence.